rnacentral:rRNA from 1 species
UAGGGAAUAUUGGUCAAUGGAUGCAAGUCUGAACCAGCCAUGCCGCGUGCAGGAAGAAGGCCCUAUGGGUUGUAAACUGCUUUUGCCAGGGGAUAAAAUUUCCUUGCGAGGAAAAUUGAAGGUACCUGGUGAAUAAGCCACGGCUAACUACGUGCCAGCAGCCGCGGUAAUACGUAGGUGGCAAGCGUUGUCCGGAUUUAUUGGGUUUAAAGGGUGCGUAGGCGGUCUUAUAAGUCAGUGCUGAAAUAUCCCGGCUUAACCGGGAGGGUGGCAUUGAUACUGUAGGACUUGAGUAAAGUUGAGGUAGGCGGAAUUGACGGUGUAGCGGUGAAAUGCUUAGAUAUCGUCAAGAACACCGAUAGUGAAGACAGCUUACUAAACUUUAACUGACGCUGAGGCACGAAAGUGUGGGGAUCAAACAGG